GCGGGCGGAAGGCAUCACUUUGUCCGGACUCUAAUUCAAAUUGUAUUCAUCCGAUCUUCACCAAACUUGGUCAGCAGUUGCAUCUAGUUGAUAUCUAGGCCAAGUUCGAAUAUGGGUCAUGCCGGGUCAAAAACUAGGUCAUAGGGUCAAUAAGUGCAUUUUCAAAGGGGCCACUUUGUCCGGACUCUAUUUCAAAUUGUAUUCAUCCGAUCUUCACCAAACUUGGUCAGCAGUUGCAUCUAGUUGAUAUAUAGGCCAAGUUCGAAUAUGGGUCAUGCCGGGUCAAAAACUAGGUCAUAGGGUCAAUUAGUGCAUUUUCAACGGCGCCACUUUGUCCGGACUCUAAUUCAAAUUGUAUUCAUCCGAUCUUCACCAAACUUGGUCAGAAGUUGUAUCUAGACAAUAUCUAGGUCAAGUUCGAAUAUGGGUCAUGCCGGGUCAAAAACUAGGUCACAGGGUCACUUAAACCAUUUCAAGCAUUUAGCAUGGUGUCCGCUCUCUAAUUGAAGUAGUUAUCAUCCGAUCUUCACCAAAUUUGGUCAGAAGUUGUGUCUAGACAAUAUCUACAUGUAGGUCAAG